UACAGAGGUCUCAAGCGUUGUUCGGAUUCAUUGGGCGUAAAGGGUGCGUAGGCGGCGCGGUAAGUCGGGUGUGAAAUCUCGGAGCUUAACUCAGAACGGCCAAGUGAUACUGCAGUGCUAGAGUGCAGAAAGGGCAAUCGGAAUUCUUGGUGUAGCGGUGAAAUGCGUAGAUAUCAAGAGGAACACCUGAGGCGAAGGCGGGUUGCUAGGCUGACACUGACGCUGAGUGCGCGAAAGCCAGGGGAGCAAACGGG
rnacentral:rRNA from 1 species